UCUGAAUUGUGAAAGCCAGAAUUUGUGACCAUCCUUUCUGCAGCACUCCUGAGACCUAACACAGCAGGAUAUGGGUAAACCACAUGCAAAUGGAACAAUAAACAAAGCAUCUUCUAAACAACAGGAACAUGUUUCAGAACUGUUUGUCAUGGUCUCAACUGGUCUGCACAGAGGAUCAGAUUCUUGAGAAAGCAUCCAUGCAGCGGUCCUUAUGAAAGUAAACACAAGGAAUAAUCCCAUCUAUUGGCAGACUCAUUACUGAGCACAGAGAAAAUAGUAUCUGAGAU
rnacentral:lncRNA from 1 species